rnacentral:lncRNA from 12 species
AGUUUUCCCCGAUCCUCUACCCGCCUUGCCGGGGGCCUCCUUUCCAGUCUCACAUUCUGGAGCAUUCAGGGCCGGCUUUACAGCCUGGUCCAUUGGCUUUGGAAUUUGCUGACUCACAUCUCCCUCACUAAAUGCAAAUAUUUGCUAAAGAGUUAUUACCCAGAGUAAAAGACUGUUGGGGCCAGGCGGGAAGGGAAACUCCUCAAGAUGGCGGAUACGCCAAAAUGGCUGAGGUUCCUGUCACCACCUGCACUUGGGACGACAGCUUGAGCAGACCCUUACACCUCUCCUUUGGACUUCCCCAACCUAACCCAAUGCUCUUCAAACCCCAGAGGAGGAAGUCACCUUUGACUGGUCGAAUUGCAAUCCUUCCUUUGCAUAGUGAGGGUCACUCUGACUGGUUGGAUUGCAAUCCUUCCUUUGCAUAUGAGCCAACUAAUAGGAAACCGUUCUGCCUUACAACGUUAUGUAAACCCCCUACCACCUUGUCUUGGGGCGACUUCCUCGACUCACUCUCUUUCCCCCCGUGA